rnacentral:lncRNA from 1 species
UGCAGGUGAAGAUCCACGGAGAUUCGAAGGGCAUGGUUGCGGCGCAAAGAUCUUCUCAGAAACCCUAAGGUUUCUGCCACUAUUUUGGGCCACUGUAUUUGGGCCUUUGUUUUAAUCCGAGUUUGGGCCAUAUAGGCCUGUUUGUAAUUCGGAUUUGGUUUUGUAACAAAAUGGACUAUUUGUUCGGGGCUGGGUAAAAUUUAGGUAUUACACUCUUUUUUGAGAACUUCUUGUGUGAGCUUUGUGUCCGGGGUUUGUGUUUUAGUAUUCUCAUUGUACUCUCUUUUUUUUUCUCCAUUAAUGUCAA